rnacentral:rRNA from 1 species
CCAGCAGCCGCGGUAAUUCCAGCUCCAAUAGCGUAUAUUAAAGUUGUUGCGGUUAAAAAGCUCGUAGUUGGAUCUCAGUUCUGGACCGGUGGUUCGCCUUUGGUGAAUACUGUUGGUCCGAGCAGCUCGCUGGUUUCUUGAGAUGAUCUUAAUCAGUUGUCUCCUGGGGCCAGCACGUUUACUUUGAAAAAAUUAGAGUGCUCAAAGCAGGCGUUUGCCUGAAUAGUUGUGCAUGGAAUGAUGGAAAAGGACCUCGGUUCUAUUUUGUUGGUUUUCGGAACCCGAGGUAAUGAUUAAUAGCGACGGACGGGGGCAUCCGUAUUGCGACGCUAGAGGUGAAAUUC